UACGUAGGGUGCAAGCGUUGUCCGGAAUUAUUGGGCGUAAAGAGCUCGUAGGCGGUCUGUCGCGUCGGAUGUGAAAACCCAGGGCUCAACCCUGGGCCUGCAUUCGAUACGGGCAGACUAGAGUUCGGUAGGGGAGACUGGAAUUCCUGGUGUAGCGGUGAAAUGCGUAGAGAUCGGGAGGAAUACCGGUGGCGAAAGCGACUCUCUGGACGGCAACUGACGCUGAGGCACGAAAGCGUUGGGGAGCAAACGGG
rnacentral:rRNA from 1 species